rnacentral:rRNA from 1 species
CUAAGGUAGCAUAAUCAUUUGUUAUUUAAUUGAUAACUGGAAUGAAAGGUUAAACUAGCUUAUUAAGUUUGUAGAAUUAUAUAGUAACUUAAAGUUAAGGUAAGAAUUCUUUAAUUUUCUAGGGGACGAUAAGACCCUAGAAGCUUAACGAGCAGAGUGUUUAGUGCUAGAAAUUUUUUCGUUUUACUGGGGCGGUAAAAAUAAGUAAACUAUUGAGUGUUUAGAGGAUCCUUAAAAUAAAGAAAAAAUGGGAAAGUUACUCUAGGGAUAA